UAAAUAUAUUGACUGAUCAGCUUCUCAAUGCCCCCCUUAUCUCCAGCAUCAACACAAACCCGUUAUGUGUGGCUGGCAAUGGGCGUCACAUCCAGUGACAUUUGUGUAGUCGAGUGUACUAUGGUGUUCCGCUUCAAGAAGCAGGUCAUUGAGCAGGGGGUGUACCUUGAAGCCUCGUCAUACUGGGACAGAGGCAUUGAACGACUGGAACAUGUGGCAUACAAAACAUACACUGUAUAUACAACAACAUUCCGUCCAGGCUGGGAUACCAGAAUGUAACAGACUCAACGCUCAAGAAAAUUCCCCCACAAAAUUGAGAAUUCCAAAUCAGAACUGUUCAGAAGAUGGAGCUGCUAAAGCUAGUUGUCACCUUAGUAGUAUGUGCAUUCUGUGCUCUCAUCCCUUCUGCUGUUGGGCAGCAUGAGACUGAAGGUCUCAUCAUCGGCCCGCGUCCAGAUCAAUCAAUCAAAGUCAAUGGAAAUGCUGCAUUUUCAUGUUCAAUGGUAAACAGAACAAUCGAAUGGACAUACGAAAAUGGCACGAAAAUAUCGAUGCUCAAUACCUCCAGGAUAUAUUUCAAUGGUGGUGAUCUCUACAUCAACUCGGUCAACUUGAACGAUACAGGAAAUUAUGUAUGUUGGACAACUGAUCAUGCUUUGAACAAAACAGUGGAAUUCAGGGCUUACAUUAUGCCAACGUACUUCACGGAAGGGAUGAUAAUUGUCGGUGUCAACUGUGGACUUAUACUUCUGUUUAUUGGCUGCGGGAUUAACUCACUCAUUCAAUCAAAACGCCAGAGUAGGAAACGUAAAGAAGAGACCUACAGAAAACCAGCUCCAAUUUAAAAAACAUCACACAAAUUAAAAUAUAAGGAUAUUCUAUUCCAAUCUCAAAGAGUGUUGAUUUUCAAAUAUACUCUGGUCAGUAAUUCAGCAAUGAGCUACAGUUUCUACAGCUGCACACAUGCCCCCAUUUCAUAUGAAAUACCUAAAGUUCACAGUCACAUGACCAUCGCAUCCCAUCAGGUACCCAUUCACUGCUGGCUGACAUUUUGACCAAGGAGACAACAGAUGUGUUAUAUGUGCUUCAGUGUUGGGCAGGAUCGAUUUCCUAGAAAUUGUCAGGAGUCAAGCUUCCUGGCUCACCUCUGAACAAGCUCUAAGAUCAAGCUGAAAAAUAUCACACAUAUCAAAAUCUAAGAAUAUCCAAUUCCUAUCUCAUAGUUUUUUUGAAAAUAAUCAGGUCAGUAAUUUGGAAAGGUGAGCUACAGUGUCAAUUUGAUACGAAAUACCUGAAGUUGAUUACACUACUACACUUGUAUGAAGAUCCUGCCAGUAAUUAAGGCCAGAUCCUGGUCCCGGUCUCCAGUGAUCUCAGUGCUUCUACUAUCAUAAGUAUGUGCUAAAGUUCGGUAAUUAAAACUGCCUUAACACUAAACAAGUUACAAGGAUUUACAUUUUUCAGUCUCAAGUGAAUAAAUGGUAUUAAUCCCAAACCAUUUCCUCACAAGGGAAAGAAACUUUCAAGGUCAUACAUAUAUAUUACCAGAGUAUGAAAUAAGGCCUGUCCGACAGCCCGAAACAGGGGUAGAUUUCGGACGGGUGGUCUAAAUUUACAGCUAGCCAGCCCGAUGUUCUGGCAAAAUAUUUAGAUAACAUGUUCCAUACAUCCGAGAAAAUGAGCGUAACAUUUAGACUUGACAAUUUGUUUAAACAUUAAACUAUCGUAUCGCAACUCAAUGCACUGUGUUGACAUAUAUCAUCACUAAAACAGCUACAUAUCUCAGGUUCAUUAAUUAUUCAUUGUAACGAAAAAUUGAGUUAUUUUUUGGGAUUAUUUGGUCUGGUUAAAUCCAUUUUGGGCUGGUAACAUUGAAGUUUUCAGCCCUAAUGUCUGGCUGGGUUUUUGGCUUAUUUCAUACACUGAUAUUACUUGUUAUUUCAACAUGUUUGAGAGAAACAAUGUAGAAAAACGGUCAACCCUAUACACUUCACUGAUGGCAGACUACUGUUCGGAUGACGUCAUGUCAUAACUUUGUGAUGACAUGAACAAACGCAUGACGUUUCAUUGUAUUUUUCGACAGCGAAGCCAUAAGAAGCCAUGUUUUAUUGUUUUUAUGUUUUCUCCUUUAGUAUUGUAGCAGGCAUUAGUAUGAGCAGGUAUUAGUACCUGGAUGUAGCGCUAUAUAAAUACCCACAUUAUUAUUAUUAUUAUUAGACCGUGUAAUUGGCAAAUCAGUAAUGUGAAUCGCUGAAAACAAUUUGAAUGUGCAAAUACCAAGUGUGAGUGAGUUUAGUUUUAUGCUGCUUUUAGCAAUAUUCCAGCAAUAUCACAGUGUGUAACACUAGAAAUGGGCUUUACACAUUGUACCCAUGUGAGGAAUUGAACCCGGAUCUUCGGGGUGAAGAGCGAACUCUGUAAGUGUAACCGCUAGGCUACCCCACCGCCCUGCAAGUACCGGAAAGUCAUUACAGGCAAUCAUUCUACCCUUAUUGUUACCAUUCUACCCUUAUUGGUACCAUUCUACCCUUAUUGGUACCAUAAUGUUUCCUUCUGCUUGUGUUGUGGUUAAGGAUCUGUUACUGUAACACCUAAUGAUCAUUACAGGCAAUCAUUCUACCCUUAUUGGUACCAGUCUACCCUUAUUGGUACCAUUCUACCCUUAUUGGUACCAUUCUACCCUUAUUGGUACCUAGUGUUUCCUUCUGCUUCUGUUGUGGUUAAGGAUCUGUUACUGUAACACCUAAUAAUCAGUAUUCAAUGUGUUGUGAACAGAUAUUCAGGAUGUGUACUGUGAUAUAUUGAGAGAUGGAGAGUUUGCAUGUGAUUGACACAUUUGCACAUGCAGAUGCUAUUUUCUAUAUACUAAUGUAAAUAUUACAUCAUUGUUAUUUGUCGCCAUUUUAAAGUAACAGGGCAAAAAACAACAUCAGAGAGAAAGAAAUCUUUGAUGUUUAAUUAGUUUUGUCAAUUUGACGGUAAAUAGCAUUUGUCGAUGAUUCUGUGAAAUGAUAAUAUAAGCUAUUGCGAUAUAUGUCAUUUGGAAAGCAUAUUGCUGUAUUCGGUUAUACAGGUAGUAUUGUGCUGUCAUAGUAGAUAUAGUUUUAUAUUUAACCUCAUGCUUAAUGAAGUCACACAUGGCAAUCAAUAAAUGUUUAUAUUGACUGCACAUUCAAUGCACACAAAAAUAGAAUAAAAUGAAAAAUAAGAAAAGGCAAAGGUUUAGCAGUAGUAGAAACUGUAGACAUUAUUACAUUAGUUUGAGUUUUGGCAGUGAAACAAUUCCAACAGCUGUUGGGACAAAGUCAGAGUUUAAACAUAGACAAUAUAUAUAUACAUGUAUAUUCUAGGUGUCCCACUUUGGCUAGGCAUCCCACUUUGACUAAGCGUCUGACUUUGUGUGCUGGCGAUUAGGUGCCUGACUCUGAGGGUGUGGGUUCGAAUCCCGGAAGGGACUCAACCCCAAAAAAGUACUAGAAUCUGUACUUUACUGAGAUAUGAUGUAAUCCCAAAUAUAAUAUAUGUUACAUUUGACCACUUUCUAAAAUGGCAUUGUGUAUUUCAUGUUUAUUCUAAAUAGUACACAAGGCACUUGUAAGUUGAUAAAAAUUGCCUAUGCCAAAUUAUGUUGAAAAAUGGUUUUCAAGGUAUGGCACGGAAUGGAUGUGAAGACCAAUGAAAGGGAACCAAGCCCAACACUAUAUGUCUGCCUUUUUCCUUUGUACAUUGAAAUGCACAAUUCUCAUGCGUCCAUAUAGAGCAGGGAAGACUAUGUAUACCGCCAUGUGUAUAUUCUGUAAUGCUGUGAUUACAAAUCUAAUGAUAUUCAUGCAUGACAUUAUUUCAGAUAAAUACUCGGCAUCAUUUCAGAAUUUAAAUAAAGAUAUUUUUAUACAUUUUAAA
rnacentral:lncRNA from 1 species